UACGUAGGGUGCGAGCGUUAAUCGGAAUUACUGGGCGUAAAGCGUGCGCAGGCGGUCUGUUAAGACCGAUGUGAAAUCCCCGGGCUCAACCUGGGAACUGCAUUCAAAACUGACAAGCUAGAGUAUGGUAGAGGGUGGUGGAAUUUCCGGUGUAGCGGUGAAAUGCGUAGAUAUCGGAAGGAACAUCAGUGGCGAAAGCGGCUUCCUGGACCAGAACUGACGAUCAGGCACGAAAGCGUGGGGAGCAAACAGG
rnacentral:rRNA from 1 species